GACGAACGCUGGCGGCGUGCCUAACACAUGCAAGUCGAACGGAGUGAAACGCUGAAUUGAAGGUAGCUUGCUACUGAAUUUUCUUGUUUCACUUAGUGGCGGACGGGUGAGUAACGCGUGAGUAACCUGCCUUACAGAGGGGGACAACAGUUGGAAACGACUGCUAAUACCGCAUGACACAUUCGGAUGGCAUCACCUGAAUGUCAAAGAUUUUAUCGCUGAAAGAUGGCCUCGCGUCCGAUUAGAUAGUUGGCGGGGUAACGGCCCACCAAGUCGACGAUCGGUAGCCGGACUGAGAGGUUGAUCGGCCACAUUGGGACUGAGACACGGCCCAGACUCCUACGGGAGCAGCAGUGGGGAUAUUGCACAAUGGGCGAAAGCCUGAUGCAGCAACGCCGCGUGAGGGAAGAAGGUCUUCGGAUUGUAAACCUUUGUCCUAAGUGAAGAACAAAUGACGGUAGCUUAGGAGGAAGCCACGGCUAACUACGUGCCAG
rnacentral:rRNA from 1 species